GAUGAAGAACGUAGCGAAAUGCGAUACGUAAUGUGAAUUGCAAAUUCAGUGAAUCAUCGAGUCUUUGAACGCACAUUGCGCCCCCUGGUAUUCCGGGGGGCAUGCCUGUCCGAGCGUCAUUGCUGCCCUCAAGCACGGCUUGUGUGUUGGGCCCCGUCCUCCGAUCCCGGGGGACGGGCCCGAAAGGCAGCGGCGGCACCGCGUCCGGUCCUCGAGCGUAUGGGGCUUUGUCACCCGCUCUGUAGGCCCGGCCGGCGCUUGCCGAUCAACCCAAAUUUUUAUCCAGGUUGACCUCGGAUCAGGUAGCGAUACCCGCUGAACUUAAGCAUAUCAAUAAGCGGAGGA
rnacentral:misc_RNA from 1 species